CUAUUUUGUAGGACACCAAAACUAAAAAGAUUAGUAUUGUCGUUUAAGGCAAACAGUCCAAGAAUGUAGUGGAUAUUGCGAUGAAAUGAUGGGAAGGCCUUGAAUCCAUCACCAUUAUCGCUAUGAUCAAGCCGAGUCGCAUUUUUUCUGCCAUUAUGCAAAGGCAUUGGAAGGUGAGGUUGCGUUGAUGGCUACCAUGUCAUAAGCAGCCAAGACCGAGAUGGUAUAUAAGGCUAGGAGUUCCACUGUUUUUGGAAAUAUAAAGUUUAUAGAGAAGUAUAAAAUGAGAUAACCAUGAUGGCGAUAUGGUCAAGGUUGAAGUUGUUGUAUAUGACCAAGUCCUUGGCUCAUAGGAAAUUGUGAAAACAAAAAGUCUACUCAUUUUGGAUGUUGGAGUCAAAAACCAUCAAGAAAAGCUGAAGGCGUACAGGUUAAGGAAACGUUAACAAUGAGAAUAGAAACUCAUAGUGGCGGAGGAUAGUAUGGGCUGAGGUGGGCCACGGCCCACCCCCCUAAAAAAAUUAAUUUUUUUUUUGGGAAAUUACAAAAAAAUCCUUAGCCCAAAAUGUUUUGUCCACGUGCCCCACCUGGGUCUCGUGUUUGCUUCAGGUUGUUGAUUGUGUUAUGCGUAAUAUAGAAUCAAAUGGCUCAUGUACCUAAUAUAGAUAUUAGAAUGUUUGAUAUGCUUAUGUGUUUCCCAAUUAUUUAAAGGAAGCAUGGUAUAAGUACUUGAACACAAAGGAAGCAAAUUUUUCCUUUUAUGUUCCUUUUUAUU